AGCUCAAACUUUUCGAUCUUAACAGCAAUACGGAGACCAACAUUGGCUCACAUGACAACAGCAUUAAGGUAUAAACAUAAUGCACCUCAUGCUUGUUGUGGCUUAUGCUUAUUUUUGUUUAUUUUUAGUGCGUGGAAUAUGCAUCAAAGGUGAACGGAGUAGUCACUGGAAGUUGGGACAAGGUGAGUUCGUGAUAUUCUUUUCGUCUUCCUCUUGCUUGACCUACUAUAUCAUUUUAGACGGUGAAGC
rnacentral:misc_RNA from 1 species